UACGGGGGGGGGCAAGCGUUGUUCGGAAUUACUGGGCGUAAAGGGCUCGUAGGUGGCCAACUAAGUCAGACGUGAAAUCCCUCGGCUUAACCGGGGAACUGCGUCUGAUACUGGAUGGCUAGAGUUUGGGAGAGGGAUGCGGAAUUCCAGGUGUAGCGGUGAAAUGCGUAGAUAUCUGGAGGAACACCGGUGGCGAAGGCGGCAUCCUGGACCAACACUGACGCUGAGGAGCGAAAGCCAGGGGAGCAAACGGG
rnacentral:rRNA from 1 species